AUUAAUGAAUGAUGACUAAACUUUUUUCCCCAGCAGAUCGACUCUGUUGACUUCUUUAAA
rnacentral:snoRNA from 1 species